rnacentral:rRNA from 1 species
UACGAGGGGGGCUAGCGUUGUUCGGAUUUACUGGGCGUAAAGCGCACGUAGGCGGAUCGUUAAGUCAGGGGUGAAAUCCUGGAGCUCAACUCCAGAACUGCCUUUGAUACUGGCGAUCUCGAGUCCGGAAGAGGUGAGUGGAACUCCUAGUGUAGAGGUGGAAUUCGUAGAUAUUAGGAAGAACACCAGUGGCGAAGGCGGCUCACUGGUCCGGUACUGACGCUGAGGUGCGAAAGCGUGGGGAGCAAACAGG